GCUGGUAAAACGGAACCAAGUCGGGUGUUUGCGAGAGGUUUGGUCCCUUUCAACCAGCUA
rnacentral:pre_miRNA from 1 species